UCUACCUCUGAGCUAAGCGGGC
rnacentral:tRNA from 1 species